GACGAACGCUGGCGGCGUGCCUAAUACAUGCAAGUAGAACGCUGAAGAGAGGAGCUUGCUCUUCUUGGAUGAGUUGCGAACGGGUGAGUAACGCGUAGGUAACCUGCCUUGUAGCGGGGGAUAACUAUUGGAAACGAUAGCUAAUACCGCAUAACAAUGGAUGACACAUGUCAUUUAUUUGAAAGGGGCAAUUGCUCCACUACAAGAUGGACCUGCGUUGUAUUAGCUAGUAGGUGAGGUAACGGCUCACCUAGGCGACGAUACAUAGCCGACCUGAGAGGGUGAUCGGCCACACUGGGACUGAGACACGGCCCAGACUCCUACGGGAGGCAGCAGUAGGGAAUCUUCGGCAAUGGGGGCAACCCUGACCGAGCAACGCCGCGUGAGUGAAGAAGGUUUUCGGAUCGUAAAGCUCUGUUGUAAGUCAAGAACGAGUGUGAGAGUGGAAAGUUCACACUGUGACGGUAGCUUACCAGAAAGGGACGGCUAACUACGUGCCAGCAGCCGCGGUAAUACGUAGGUCCCGAGCGUUGUCCGGAUUUAUUGGGCGUAAAGCGAGCGCAGGCGGUUUGAUAAGUCUGAAGUUAAAGGCUGUGGCUCAACCAUAGUUCGCUUUGGAAACUGUCAAACUUGAGUGCAGAAGGGGAGAGUGGAAUUCCAUGUGUAGCGGUGAAAUGCGUAGAUAUAUGGAGGAACACCGGUGGCGAAAGCGGCUCUCUGGUCUGUAACUGACGCUGAGGCUCGAAAGCGUGGGGAGCGAACAGGAUUAGAUACCCUGGUAGUCCACGCCGUAAACGAUGAGUGCUAGGUGUUGGAUCCUUUCCGGGAUUCAGUGCCGCAGCUAACGCAUUAAGCACUCCGCCUGGGGAGUACGACCGCAAGGUUGAAACUCAAAGGAAUUGACGGGGGCCCGCACAAGCGGUGGAGCAUGUGGUUUAAUUCGAAGCAACGCGAAGAACCUUACCAGGUCUUGACAUCCCGAUGCUAUUUCUAGAGAUAGAAAGUUACUUCGGUACAUCGGUGACAGGUGGUGCAUGGUUGUCGUCAGCUCGUGUCGUGAGAUGUUGGGUUAAGUCCCGCAACGAGCGCAACCCCUAUUGUUAGUUGCCAUCAUUCAGUUGGGCACUCUAGCGAGACUGCCGGUAAUAAACCGGAGGAAGGUGGGGAUGACGUCAAAUCAUCAUGCCCCUUAUGACCUGGGCUACACACGUGCUACAAUGGUUGGUACAACGAGUUGCGAGUCGGUGACGGCAAGCUAAUCUCUUAAAGCCAAUCUCAGUUCGGAUUGUAGGCUGCAACUCGCCUACAUGAAGUCGGAAUCGCUAGUAAUCGCGGAUCAGCACGCCGCGGUGAAUACGUUCCCGGGCCUUGUACACACCGCCCGUCACACCACGAGAGUUUGUAACACCCGAAGUCGGUGAGGUAACCUUUUGGAGCCAGCCGCCUAAGGUGGGAUAGAUGAUUGGGGUG
rnacentral:rRNA from 2 species